AUACCAGUGGUGUGUAGUACACGUGCCCGCUAAUAUAAAUCGAUGCAUGGAAUUACCACGGCGAGUCGGGGUUCGAUUCCCCGCUGGUGUA